rnacentral:rRNA from 1 species
CUGGCGGCGUGCCUAAUACAUGCAAGUCGAACGCACAGCGAAAGGUGCUUGCACCUUUCAAGUGAGUGGCGAACGGGUGAGUAACACGUGGACAACCUGCCUCAAGGCUGGGGAUAACAUUUGGAAACAGAUGCUAAUACCGAAUAAAACUCAGUGUCGCAUGACACAAAGUUAAAAGGCGCUUUGGCGUCACCUAGAGAUGGAUCCGCGGUGCAUUAGUUAGUUGGUGGGGUAAAGGCCUACCAAGACAAUGAUGCAUAGCCGAGUUGAGAGACUGAUCGGCCACAUUGGGACUGAGACACGGCCCAAACUCCUACGGGAGGCUGCAGUAGGGAAUCUUCCACAAUGGGCGAAAGCCUGAUGGAGCAACGCCGCGUGUGUGAUGAAGGCUUUCGGGUCGUAAAGCACUGUUGUAUGGGAAGAACAGCUAGAAUAGGGAAUGAUUUUAGUUUGACGGUACCAUACCAGAAAGGGACGGCUAAAUACGUGCCAGCAGCCGCGGUAAUACGUAUGUCCCGAGCGUUAUCCGGAUUUAUUGGGCGUAAAGCGAGCGCAGACGGUUGAUUAAGUCUGAUGUGAAAGCCCGGAGCUCAACUCCGGAAUGGCA